GUAUAGCUCAGUAGAAGAAGAGCAUGUGCUUAGCAUGCAUAAAGCCCUGGAUUCAAUCCCCAGUGC
rnacentral:tRNA from 1 species